CAAUAGCGUAUAUUUAAGUUGCUGCAGUUAAAAAGCUCGUAGUUGGAUUUCGGGUGGGAAUGGCCGGUCCGCCGUUUCGGUGUGCACUUGCUACGCCCACCUUGCUGCCGGGGACGUGCUCUUGAGUUCACGCUCGGGACACGGAGUCGGCGAGGUUACUUUGAGUAAAUGAGAGUGUUCAAAGCAGGCCUACGCUCUGAAUACAUUAGCAUGGAAUAACACGAUAGGACUCUGGCCUAUCUUGUUGGUCUGUAGGACCGGAGUAAUGAUUAAGAGGGACAGUCGGGGGCAUUCGUAUUUCAUUGUCAGAGGUGAAAUUCUUGGAUUUAUGAAAGACGAACUACUGCGAAAGCAUUUGCCAAGGAUGUUUUCAUUAA
rnacentral:rRNA from 1 species